rnacentral:rRNA from 1 species
CAAUAGCGUAUAUUAAGGUUGUUGCGGUUAAAAAGCUCGUAGUUGGAUUUCUGCCGAGGACGACCGGUCCGCCCUCUGGGUGUGUAUCUGGUUUGGCCUGGGCAUCUUCUUGGAGAACGUAGCUGCACUUGACUGUGUGGUGCGGUGUCCAGGACUUUUACUUUGAGGAAAUUAGAGUGUUUCAAGCAGGCACACGCCUUGAAUACAUUAGCAUGGAAUAAUAAGAUAGGACCUCGGUUCUAUUUUGUUGGUUUCUAGAGCUGAGGUAAUGAUUAAUAGGGAUAGUUGGGGGCAUUCGUAUUUAACUGUCAGAGGUGAAACUCUUGGAUUUGUUAAAGACGGACUACUGCGAAAGCAUUUGCCAAGGAUGUUUUCAUUGA